AGGACGAACGCUGGCGGCGUGCUUAACACAUGCAAGUCGAGCGGUAAGGCCUUUCGGGGUACACGAGCGGCGAACGGGUGAGUAACACGUGGGUGAUCUGCCCUGCACUUCGGGAUAAGCCUGGGAAACUGGGUCUAAUACCGGAUAUGACCUCCUAUCGCAUGGUGGGUGGUGGAAAGAUUUAUCGGUGCAGGAUGGGCCCGCGGCCUAUCAGCUUGUUGGUGGGGUAAUGGCCUACCAAGGCGACGACGGGUAGCCGACCUGAGAGGGUGACCGGCCACACUGGGACUGAGACACGGCCCAGACUCCUACGGGAGGCAGCAGUGGGGAAUAUUGCGCAAUGGGCGAAAGCCUGAUGCAGCGACGCCGCGUGAGGAUGACGGCCUUCGGGUUGUAAACCUCUUUCAGCGAGGACGAAGCGACGAAGUCGGACCGGUACCUGCAGAAGAAGCCGACCGCUAACACGUGCCAGCACGCCGAC
rnacentral:rRNA from 1 species